UAUAUUGUAUACCUAUGUAUGUAUAGCUGCAUUACGACUCCCCGUCUUACAGUUCUAUAAGUUCUUAAGUAUCACCUGGAAGAGAUAAGUUUAGUGAUAAGGUCGCCCUUUGUUGAAUUAAGUGUAUACUGUAUUCUUACUCUUUGUAAUUUUGUUGACAAUAAAGUUGUUUUAAAUUAAAUUAAAUUAAUUAAAAUGUUAGUGGUAAC